rnacentral:rRNA from 1 species
GUGAGGAAUUUUCCGCAAUGGGCGAAAGCCUGACGGAGCAAUGCCGCGUGAAGGAUGAAGGCCUAUGGGUUGUAAACUUCUUUUCUCAGAAAAGAAUUAUGACGGUAUCUGAGGAAUAAGCAUCGGCUAACUCUGUGCCAGCAGCCGCGGUAAGACAGAGGAUGCAAGCGUUAUCCGGAAUGAUUGGGCGUAAAGCGUCUGUAGGUUGUUUAAAAAGUAUUCUGUCAAAGAUUAGGGCUUAACCCUAGAUAGGCAGAAUAAACUUUUAAGCUAGAGUUUGGAAGAGGCAGAGGGAAUUCCCGGUGGAGCGGUGAAAUGCGUAGAUAUCGGGAGGAACACCAAAGGCGAAGGCACUCUGCUGGGCCAAUACUAACACUGAGAGACGAAAGCGAGGGGAGCAAAUGGGAUUAGAAACCCCUGUAGUCC